GACCUGGUGGUUAAAUGCAUCACACUUGCAUUCUGUACGAAUGAGUCUUGCGAGAAGCAGGAGUUCCCGGUUCGAUUCCGGGUCGGGUCA